ensembl:lncRNA NRAV negative regulator of antiviral response
AUUUUGUUGCAGACCACAAUGCACCGCUCACGGCGUCGGUUGCCCGGGCAAUGGGCCGCACGCUACGAGGCCCACACACCCAGAAGGUGGAGCCCCGGCCGGGUUACGAGGACCACCCAGCUGUCUGGAGAGAUGAAGAAAAUGAGGUUCAAAGAGAUGAAGUCUCUUGCCUAAAGUCAGUGACAGAAAGUGACAGAGCUGGGAUGUGAAUCCUGGUCUGACUCUACAGUCCCACAUGGUAGAUGGAACCUCCGAGCAACACCUAAACAAAAGGAGUUGAUGCCUCCGAACAGAGUAAUGUCGCUGGAGACACUAAGCAUCGUCGGCCCCUGGCAGGAGCUCCCUAAAUAUGUGUUGGAUGGAUGGAAGAAAGGAUGGAUAGUUCAGAGUACUUCAGCCUUGAUUCCUCCGCAACAGACACCUGAAACUUGACCCUACAUUGGUUCUUGGCCAUCGUGAUCUUCCUUGGACAGAAUCACCUUUCAGCUCCGGUCAUCAGACUUUCCCAGGGCCCUCAGAAAGCCCUUCAGAGUUGUUACUCACAGGCAGGCUGAGGGAUUCCUUACGGGGUCUGCAGCUCUCCUCACCUCAUCCACAAGUAGGACCGUGGCCUGUUCCUCACUACUGCCCCAGGAUCACUCUGUUCCCAGCCCAGUCCAGCAAUCACUUGUCUAGCUUUCUGGAACCUUGAGUACUUUCUUGAACCAUGAGUCCUGUGACCACCCUAGCAGCUCUAACCCUCCCUUAUCUGAAAGGAAGUGUGAGGUGACCUUGCAGGUCCCAGAGUUGAUUGAAGACCCCAUCCAGAAAGAAGGCACCCUGUGGGAGAGAUUGCAAGGCCUAGGUCUGAAUCCGGAAGCUUCCACCCCAUGGAGAAGGGCUGGCACCAGCCUGGGGCUGGCAGUGGAGCUGAGCUUUGGAGCCAAGGACUGUACUGCAGUGCAGGGAGAGUGAGGCCAGAAAGGCUGAGACAACUCAGGGAAAGAAAACCUCCCUUCUGGCUAAUAGUCAAGCACCGCCUGAGUAGACCAACACUCUCCUGUCCACAGGGGCAGCAGAUGAAGACACAACCAGAGAGGACUAACAGGCCCCCUCAGCUCUCAGUCAGAGGGCAGAGCAACACAGAAUAGACAUUAAAGGAACAGACUUUGAGGCCAGGCAGCCUUGGGUGUGCAUCUGUCCCUACUAAGCCAUGUGACAUUAAACAAGUGAGUCCACCUCUCUGA